rnacentral:rRNA from 1 species
UACGUAGGGCGCAAGCGUUAUCCGGAAUUAUUGGGCGUAAAGAGCUCGUAGGCGGUUUGUCGCGUCUGCCGUGAAAGUCCGGGGCUCAACUCCGGAUCUGCGGUGGGUACGGGCAGACUAGAGUGAUGUAGGGGAGACUGGAAUUCCUGGUGUAGCGGUGAAAUGCGCAGAUAUCAGGAGGAACACCGGUGGCGAAGGCGGGUCUCUGGGCCGAUACUGACGCUGAGGGGCGAAAGCGUGGGGAGCGAACAGG